rnacentral:tRNA from 1 species
AAGGAUAUAGCUCAGUGGUAGAGUGCAUGUUUAACAUGCACAAGGUUCUGGGUUCAAUCCCCAGUAUCUCUG